rnacentral:rRNA from 1 species
UACGGAGGGUGCAAGCGUUGUUCGGAUUCAUUGGGCGUAAAGCGAGUGUAGGCGGUUUGACAAGUCGGAUGUGAAAUCCCGGGGCCCAACCCCGGAACUGCAUCCGAUACUGUCUGGCUAGAGUCCCGGAGAGGGUGGCGGAAUUCCCGGUGGAGCGGUGAAAUGCGUAGAUAUCGGAAGGAACGCCGGUGGCGAAAGCGGCGCACUGGAUCUCCACUGACGCUGAGGCGCGAAAGCCAGGGGAGCAAACGGG